rnacentral:lncRNA from 1 species
UGACAAGCCCAAGCCUUCACCAACUCCAUACUACUACAAAUCACCUCCACCUCCCUCACCUGUUUACAAGUACAACUCUCCACCUCCACCAGUCCAUUAUUAUUCACCACCAUAUUACUACAAAUCACCUCCUCCUCCAGUAAAAUCGCCACCAACACCUUACUACUACAAAUCACCUCCACCUCCCUCACCAGUUUACAAGUACAACUCACCACCUCCACCGGUCCAUUAUUACUCUCCUCCAUAUUCCUAUAAGUCGCCUCCACCUCCCUCACCAGUUUACAAAUACAACUCCCCACCUCCACCAGUCCACCAUUAUGAUCCUCCAUAUUACUACAAGUCACCUCCACCUCCCUCACCAGUUUACAAGUACAACUCCCCACCUCCACCAGUCCAUUAUUAUUCACCUCCAUAUUACUACAAAUCCCCACCUCCUCCUGUGAAAUCCCCACCACCCCCUUACUACUAUAAAUCACCUCCACCUCCCUCACCAGUUUACAAAUACAACUCACCACCUCCACCGGUUUACAAGUACAACUCACCACCUCCACCAGUCCACCAUUAUGAUCCUCCAUAUAACUACAAGUCACCUCCACCUCCUUCACCUGUUUACAAGUACAACUCCCCACCUCCACCAGUCCAUUAUUAUUCACCUCCAUAUUACUACAAAUCACNNN